rnacentral:rRNA from 1 species
CCUCCUACGGGGCGCAGCAGUGGGGAAUAUUGCACAAUGGGGGAAACCCUGAUGCAGCGACGCCGCGUGAGUGAAGGAGUAAUUCGUUAUGUAAAGCUCUAUCAGCAGGGAAGAAAAUGACGGUACCUGAGUAAGAAGCCCCGGCUAACUACGUGCCAGCAGCCGCGGUAAUACGUAGGGGGCAAGCGUUAUCCGGAUUUACUGGGUGUAAAGGGAGCGUAGACGGCAGUGCAAGUCUGGAGUGAAAGGCGGGGG